rnacentral:rRNA from 1 species
CUCUGUGACUCCUACGGGAGGCAGCAGUGGGGAAUAUUGGACAAUGGACCAAAAGUCUGAUCCAGCAAUUCUGUGUGUUUGAUGAAGGCCUUCGGGUUGUAAAGAACUUUCAGUGGGGAAGAAGCAAGUGACGGUACCCACAGAAGAAGCGACGGCUAAAUACGUGCCAGCAGCCGCGGUAAUACGUAUGUCGCAAGCGUUAUCCGGAAUUAUUGGGCAUAAAGGGCGUCUAGGCGGUCUAAUAAGUCUGAUGUGAAAAUGCGGGGCUCAACUCCGUAUUGCGUUGGAAACUGUUAGACUAGAGUUUUGGAGAGGUAGGCGGAACUACAAGUGUAGAGGUGAAAUUCGUAGAGAUUUGUAGGAAUGCCGAUGACGAAGGUAGCUUACUGGACAAAUACUGACGCUGAAGCGCGAAAGCUAGGGGAGCAAACAGGAUUAGAUACCCUGGUGG